rnacentral:rRNA from 1 species
UACGUAGGGACCAAGCGUUGUUCGGAUUUACUGGGCGUAAAGGGCGCGUAGGCGGCGUGACAAGUCACUUGUGAAAUCUCUGGGCUUAACCCAGAACGGCCAAGUGAAACUGUCGUGCUAGAGUGCGGAAGGGGCAAUCGGAAUUCUCGGUGUAGCGGUGAAAUGCGUAGAUAUUGGGAGGAACACCAGUGGCGAAGGCGGCUCACUGGACCGGAACUGACGCUGAGGCGCGAAAGCGUGGGGAGCAAACAGG